UAUCGCACAUAACACGGGCGAGAGAGACAGCGACUCCGGACAUCUUUAGAACAAACCUAUACAACGCUACCAGCAUCAUGUAACAAUUUGGCCUAUCAGUCAGCAGUUCAACCCACAUCUUUCUGCAACGAUGGACUAAUAGGGCAUGCAUUUUGUUACUCUAUGCUGAAGAUCUGAAUGUUUAAAAUCUGGUGAUUGAAGAGGGCUGGUUCCUGAAGGACAGGCUAUUCACAGCUUUGAAGCAUGCUUCAGCUUUAGGCCUACCGAAGGAUAGCAUUUAGGCUGAUCAACUGUAGAGGAUGGCAUUUUUAAAGACUAUUCAUUAUUGGUUGCACUCCAAUUGCUCAUUUUACUAGUGUCAGUGUCUGUCUCCUAUAGGCUAUGUAUUUCUCUGCCAUUUUGUUUUUUUACAAUCAUUCUAGCAUCUUAUAAUUAUACUUGCCUCUAAUCUCACUGCAUUCUCCUUGCUACCUUCACCAAACUACAGGCUAAUGUAGGUCUAGUUGUAUUAUCACCGUCUGUUUUUUUCUGGUCCUGCCUGGAUCCAGUUUACCCUCUCUCCAGCCCAUGGGUGGUUAUGGGUCUAAGACUAUGACAUGUUCAGUUCCAUGGGAGUCUGAUGCAUCAAAGAGAGUUUCCCAGAGUCAAUGGAAAUACUUUUCAACAUAAGGUGACCAUUUACAGGAUUUACAGAAUAUAAUACUAACAUAUAAUCAUACAUAAUGGCUGCCAAAAAUGUGUGUUCUGGGUUGGAGGUCAGAAGAAUAUGGAGAGUGAUAUAAUGAUGCUCUCUGGAACUGGCAGAAAAAUGAAUACAAGUCACUCCUAAAUGGAAGUAGUGAGUUUAUUUAUGUGUUUCCCCCUGCAACCAAAUCAAUUUCAACUGGAGUCCACCUAUUUCUCAACUGAUGUAUUCCCCUUGGAUUAGUUGUUGUCACUCCUCAAGCCAAUCAACC